GAUGAACGCUGGCGGCGUGCCUAAUACAUGCAAGUCGAGCGAACGGACGAGAAGCUUGCUUCUCUGAUGUUAGCGGCGGACGGGUGAGUAACACGUGGAUAACCUACCUAUAAGACUGGGAUAACUUCGGGAAACCGGAGCUAAUACCGGAUGAUAUUUUGAACUGCAUGGUUCAAAAGUGAAAGACGGUCUUGCUGUCACUUAUAGAUGAAUCCGCGCUGCAUUAGUUAGUUGGUAAGGUAACGGCUUACCAAGGCAACGAUGCAUAGCCGACCUGAGAGGGUGAUCGGCCACACUGGAACUGAGACACGGUCCAGACUCCUACAGGAGGAAGCAGUAGGGAAUCUUCCGCAAUGGGCGAAAGCCUGACGGAGCAACGCCGCGUGAGUGAUGAAGGUCUUCGGAUCGGAAAACUCUGUUAUUAGGGAAGAACAAAUGUGUAAGUAACUGUGCACAUCAUGACGGUACCUAAUCAAAAAGCCACGGCUAACUACGUG
rnacentral:rRNA from 1 species